rnacentral:rRNA from 1 species
GACGAACGCUGGCGGCGUGCUUAACACAUGCAAGUCGAACGGAAAGGCCCUGCUUUUGUGGGGUUCUCGAUUGGCGAACGGGUGAGUAACACGUGAGUAACCUGCCCUUCACUUUCGUAUAACUUCAGGAAACUAGGGCUACUACCGUAUAGGAUCUCCUGCACCAUGGUGGGGGUUGGAAAUUUUCGGCUGUCGGGGCUGGAUUCGCGGCUUAUCAGCUUGUUGGUUGGGUAGUGGCUUACCAAGGCUUUGACGGGUAGCCGGCAUGAGAGGGUGACCGGGGUCAUUGGGACUGAGAUACGGCGCAGACUGCUACGGGAGGCAGUAGUGGGGAAUAUUGCACAAUGAGCGCGAGCGUGAUGAGGCAACGCUGCGUGCGGGAUGACGGCCUUCGGGGUGUAAACAGCUGUCGCCUGUGACGAAGCGUGAGUGACGGUAAUGGGUAAAGAAGCACCGGCUAACUACGUG